rnacentral:tRNA from 1 species
GGAGAUGUGGCUCAGUGAUAGAGCACUCGCCUAGCACCUGGGUGUGAGACCCUGGGUUCAAUCCUCAGCACCA